AGGCCUACCUGGCAAGGGAGAUGCUGUGAUCACAAAGGUGGUUUUCCCAGGGCAAGGCUUAUCCAUUGCCCUCCAGAUGUGCUGACCCCUGUGAUUUCCCCAGGUGUGGGAAACCCCACCGCAUAAUUUGUGGUAGUGGGGGACUGCGUUCGCACUCUCCUC
rnacentral:snRNA from 1 species